CGACCAAGGAGGGAAGUAAGUAAGACGACGCAGCUCCCCCAGCGGCCGCCAGGACAAGUCCGCCAGCGGCCGCCAAAAGACCUCCCCAGCGGCCGACAGGACAUGUCCCCCAGAUGCCCCCAGAAGACCUUCCCAGCGGUAAAAGUCCCCCAGCGGCCCCCAGAAGACCUCACCCUGGCAGGUAUAAGUAAUGUGUCUGUCUGUCUGUGUCAUGGUGUCUGUAUGUAUGGUGUGUGUGUGUCUGUCUGUGUCAUGGUGUCUGUAUGUGUCAUGGUGUCUGUCUGUAUGGUGUGUGUGUGUAUGUGUUUGUCUGUCCGUCAUUGGGUGGGUGUGUGUGUGUCUGUCAUUCAUGGGGUGUGUGUGUCUGUCUGUCCGUCAUGGGGUGUGUGUGUCUGUCUGUCUGUCAUGGGGUGUGUGUGUUUGUGUGUCUGUCUGUCUGUCAUGGGGUGUGUGUGUGUCUGUCUGUCAUUCAUGGUGUGUGUGUGUGUGUGUCUGUCCGUCAUGGUGUGUGUGUGUCUAUCUGUCCGUCAUGGUGUGUGUCUGUCUGUGUCAUGGUGUGUGUCUGUCUGUGUCAUGGUCUGUCAUGGUGUGUGUGUGUCUGUAAUGGGGUGUGUAUCUGUCAUGGUAUAUGUGUGUUUCUGUGUCUGUCAUGGUGUAAAUGUGUGUUUAAAAAUAGUGUUUUUGCUCACCUUUUUUUUUCCCCACGCAGCGUGCUGGUCUCCCUCGACUGGCCCUGCCUCUAUAGCUGAGAUCAUCAAGCUUGAUGAUCUCAGCCAAUCCAAUGCUUUGCCAUAGGAUUGGCUGCAAAACGCCACUCCAAUUAGCAUCUCCUCAUAGAGAUGCAUUGAAUCAAUGUAUCUGUAUGGGGAACGUUCAGCACCUACAGAGUGUGGAGGCCCUGAAUGUAGGUGCACUAACACAGGAAGCACCUCUAG